GAUGAACGCUGGCGGCGUGCCUAAUACAUGCAAGUCGAGCGAACGGACGGGAAGCUUGCUCCUCUGCUGUUAGCGGCGGACGGGCGAGUAACGCGUGGAUCACCUACUUAUAAUUCUGGGAUAACUUCGGGAAACCGGAUCUACUACCAGAGGAUAUUUUGAACCGCAUGGUUCAAAAGUGAAUGACGGUCUUGCUGUCACUUAUAGCUGGAUCCGCGCUGCAUUAGCUAGUUGGUAAGGUAACGGCGUACCAAGGCAACGAUGCAUAGCCGACCUGAGAGGGUGAUCGGCCACACUGGAACUGAGACACGGUCCAGACUCCUACGGGAGGCAGCAGUAGGGAAUCUUGCGCAAUGGGCGAAAGCCUGACGGAGCAACGCCGCGUGAGUGAUGAAGGUCUUCGGAUCGUAAAACUCUGUUAUUAGGGAAGAAAAUAUGUGUAAGUAACUGUGCACAUCUUGACGGUACCUAAUCAGAAAGCCACGGCUAACUACGUG
rnacentral:rRNA from 1 species